rnacentral:other from 2 species
GACACCCUGCAGUGUUCGAGGUGCUUUCAAUAACAGCUCUUUGCCUUUGAUACAAUUCGGGAGCCGCAAACGACGGCGGGAUGCCAGGCCGUAAAUCGGAAGGCAAAAAGCCGUCUGGUGGCGCCCACCUUACUACAAAAAGGUUUCGAGCCUUUGAGCGCACGGCACAGGCGGGGUGUCA